rnacentral:rRNA from 1 species
GCCAGACUCCUACGGGAGGCAGCAGUGGGGGAUAUUGCACAAUGGGGGAAACCCUGGUGCAGCGACGCCGCGUGAGUGAAGAAGUAAUUCGUUACGUAAAGCUCUAUCAGCAGGGAAGAAAAUGACGGUACCUGACUAAGAAGCCCCGGCUAACUACGUGCCAGCAGCCGCGGUAAUACGUAGGGGGCAAGCGUUAUCCGGAUUUACUGGGUGUAAAGGGAGCGUAGGCGGCUGUGUAAGCCAGAAGUGAAAGCCCGGGGCUCAACUCCGGGACUGCUUUUGGAACUACAUGGCUUGAGUGCAGGAGAGGCAAGUGGAAUUCCUAGUGUAGCGGUGAAAUGCGUAGAUAUUAGGAGGAACACCAGUGGCGAAGGCGGCUUGCUGGACUGUAAAUGACGCUGAGGCUCGAAAGCGUGGGGAGCAAACAGGAUUAGAUACCCCCGUAGA